UUGUUGUGGGCAGUUUAUGCCAUUGUAUCCAAUCUUUGUGGACAACUAUUUGUAUAUGUGUGUGCUUCUUUUUAUUCACCGUUUAUACGUGUCUGUUUCUAUUCCCCUGCAAGCCCUAAAAGCACCCCACCGAUCAUCGACGCUUAACCCAAUCGAUUUAUCUGUCUACACGUGUUGUUCAUCCGCUUCCUCACCGCUUUUCACUACCAAUCAGAGUGUCACCGCCAUUAUCCCCUAUUCUAAAUCAGUGGUUUCUCAGUUGACCUCUGCUUUGCUCACUUGACACCUCUAACAUUUACCCGACAGGGAACGAUCAUCUGUCACAGUGGUCACCACUGCUCUAGAUACCCAGCGCCUUCCUCUUACCCCGUCAUCCCGGUCGUCUUAAUCUCUUACCAAUUCUUCCACCGUCAUAUGACCUCUUCAUAGGAGGUAUUUCUUCCAUACCCACCAAUUAUUCAAGAUGAGAUCGAUGACGAUGACGAUGAUUUGGAUUUCAGGUGCGUUACCAUCAUGGCUUCUCCCCCUCUUUAUGAAAUUCAAACACAUGGUUUCAAAAUGGGAUUUAUUGGCUCUCUUCGGCUCCAACAUAUAGAGUCAGAUUCCGGAUAUAUCUCUUCGUAUUUUCUAUUCAUAUAACCAAUUGACCAACUUAUGUUCUGUUUUGCAUCAUCGAUUUAUCCUCCACCUGCUUCAUUGUUGUCUAGAAGGUCGCAUGUCCGGAUUCGUCCAAAGAAAGGAGCGUACAUUAGGCUUGCGGGAUUACUAUGAAGUGAGUUUGUUUUGAAAUUGAUAACUUUGGAAGUAAUUACGUAUCACCUAAUUUGCAUUUUUGGGUUUUUGCUUUGUUUUAUGUUUACUGUUCUUAUAUAUGCGUUUAGGUUGUCAUUUAGCUUCAAUUAUAUAUUGAUUUUCCACAAUUUCCACAUGAAAUUGACUAUUCCUAUUUCGUUUCAGGUUGUUUACCAUUUCUAUUUGUUUUUCAGUCUGCAAAUUGAUUCUUUCCCUUUUCUAUUAGGGUGAAUUUUGUUAUUUUAGUGCCCUGGAUGCCAUCACGAAUUACCAGGGCCUCUUCUGAAUCCUAAGCCAAAAUCAUUAGAAACUUCAAUGGAUGAGUUUGGUGGCUCCCUAAACGUAAGAACUAAGAAGUUCAGGCUACACAAAGGUUUUAGAAAUUGAGAAUAUCUGUUGUAUCAUGCUUUGUGAUUACAUUCUUUUUAGAGCUUUCCCAUUAAAGUUGAAAAGUGAGUGUCAUUGGUGCUUCUUUUUAUUUAUUUAGUCUUCAAAAAAAUAUUGUUGACAUGGAAGAUGAGUACGAUGAUUUAAAUAGAUAUAAAGUGUCGUGAAGCUUUUUUGUAGUCUCUUAUCUUUGUAUCAUUAUCCUACCUUUUUUUAGGGAGACAAAAUCACCCAUAUUGCAUAGCAUCUACGACUCUACAUUUCCGUUUUAGACUGGCAACACCAUAAACGUAAGAACUGUAGCAAGGUUUGAACUUUAAACUAAAUGCCAACUUUUAAUCUGUUUAUAUCUUACCUAUUAUAACAAAUGAAGUUAAUUUCUUUAUAUCAUGUCGUUUCCCAUGUGAACAACAGAAAUGGAGUUACCUAAGAAGAGCUCCGACAAUAGUUGAUCAUGUUUUUACAAAUCUGAAAAGUUUCUUGUGUUAUUCGGAAACUUUACUCUCCAGGUAACUAAAGGGUUUUGAGCACUACAUCAAUCCUAUGGUGUACAUGCAAACCCUAAAGCUUUGGAUCUAGUUUUUCUAAUGAACAUGCAAUAAUCAUCCAAAGCUCAUAAACCCUAGAUCUAGCAUACAAUAAUCAAAUUAACAUAUGAAUAAGGGUUUAGAUCUUACCUUGAUUGUUAUAUAGCAAUAAAAAUCUCAAUCCUUCUUGAUCUUGACCUUUGAAAGCUUAGUGCCUCAAAUGUUGCACCUCUAAUGGAGUCACAAACACGAUGAGCAAUAAGAUGACCUAGGAGAAGGAGGAGGAGCACCAAAAACGACCAAGAACCCUUAGGGAUUACUUCACCACAUUUUUGGGGCCUUAGGGGUUCCUUAUAUAGGUAGGCUAUUAGGGUUUUCAACUACGAAACCCUAAUUUGACUGCUUAGGCCCUAAGCAGCCCAUGGACUCCCUCCUUAGAAGCCUUGGACGAAUUCUAAUGGGUUUCCCCAUAGAUUUCGUCCACUCCAACUUCUAUGGAGUCCAUUAGCCCAAUAUUCAACUAUCACACAAUUGAUACUUCUAGUCCCCUUUAUUUAAUUAAUGUCUUUUAGCCACAAAAUUAAUUCUUAUUAAUUCUUCACUAAUAUUAAUUAAACAAUAUGAUUUCUCGUUUAAUAUAUUAUUCAUAUAAUAAAUUAAUAAAUCAUAAUUAAUCCUUUUUCUUCUUAGUUUAUCCUCUUAGUUGCUAUGGUGAAGGCAACCCAAAAGGACCAUGCUUACAAUCGGGUCAAGUACAUACCAAAAUAGUUAUGGGCUUAGACAUC